GUCACUUUGGUAUUCUCACCAAAAGCACGUAAUCUAAAAUAUAACUCAUGUUUUCCUUGUUCACCCUCAGAGGACAAA
rnacentral:sRNA from 1 species